rnacentral:rRNA from 1 species
ACUCCUACGGGAGGCAGCAGUGGGGAAUAUUGCACAAUGGGCGCAAGCCUGAUGCAGCAACGCCGUGUGAGUGAAGAAGGUUUUCGGAUCGUAAAACUCUGUCCUAAGGGAAGAAACAAAUGACGGUACCUUAGGAGGAAGCCCCGGCUAACUACGUGCCAGCAGCCGCGGUAAUACGUAGGGGGCAAGCGUUAUCCGGAAUCACUGGGCGUAAAGGGUGCGUAGGCGGCUUAGCAAGCCAGGGGUGAAAGGCAUUGGCUCAACCAAUGUAAGCCUUUGGAACUGUUAAGCUUGAGUGCAGGAGAGGUAAGUGGUAAUUCCUAGUGUAGAGGUAGUAAUUCGUAGA